rnacentral:rRNA from 1 species
GGUUAAGCGACUAAGCGUACACGGUGGAUGCCCUGGCAGUCAGAGGCGAUGAAGGACGUGCUAAUCUGCGAUAAGCGUCGGUAAGGUGAUAUGAACCGUUAUAACCGGCGAUUUCCGAAUGGGGAAACCCAGUGUGAUUCGUCACACUAUCAUUAACUGAAUCCAUAGGUUAAUGAGGCGAACCGGGGGAACUGAAACAUCUAAGUACCCCGAGGAAAAGAAAUCAACCGAGAUUCCCCCAGUAGCGGCGAGCGAACGGGGAGCAGCCCAGAGCCUGAAUCAGUGUGUGUGUUAGUGGAAGCGUCUGGAAAGGCGCGCGAUACAGGGUGACAGCCCCGUACACAAAAAUGCACAUACUGUGAGCUCGAUGAGUAGGGCGGGACACGUGGUAUCCUGUCUGAAUAUGGGGGGACCAUCCUCCAAGGCUAAAUACUCCUGACUGACCGAUAGUGAACCAGUACCGUGAGGGAAAGGCGAAAAGAACCCCGGCGAGGGGAGUGAAAAAGAACCUGAAACCGUGUACGUACAAGCAGUGGGAGCACGCUUAGGCGUGUGACUGCGUACCUUUUGUAUAAUGGGUCAGCGACUUAUAUUCUGUAGCAAGGUUAACCGAAUAGGGGAGCCGAAGGGAAACCGAGUCUUAACUGGGCGUUAAGUUGCAGGGUAUAGACCCGAAACCCGGUGAUCUAGCCAUGGGCAGGUUGAAGGUUGGGUAACACUAACUGGAGGACCGAACCGACUAAUGUUGAAAAAUUAGCGGAUGACUUGUGGCUGGGGGUGAAAGGCCAAUCAAACCGGGAGAUAGCUGGUUCUCCCCGAAAGCUAUUUAGGUAGCGCCUCGUGAAUUCAUCUCCGGGGGUAGAGCACUGUUUCGGCAAGGGGGUCAUCCCGACUUACCAACCCGAUGCAAACUGCGAAUACCGGAGAAUGUUAUCACGGGAGACACACGGCGGGUGCUAACGUCCGUCGUGAAGAGGGAAACAACCCAGACCGCCAGCUAAGGUCCCAAAGUCAUGGUUAAGUGGGAAACGAUGUGGGAAGGCCCAGACAGCCAGGAUGUUGGCUUAGAAGCAGCCAUCAUUUAAAGAAAGCGUAAUAGCUCACUGGUCGAGUCGGCCUGCGCGGAAGAUGUAACGGGGCUAAACCAUGCACCGAAGCUGCGGCAGCGACGCUGAUGCGUUGUUGGGUAGGGGAGCGUUCUGUAAGCCUGUGAAGGUGUGCUGUGAGGCAUGCUGGAGGUAUCAGAAGUGCGAAUGCUGACAUAAGUAACGAUAAAGCGGGUGAAAAGCCCGCUCGCCGGAAGACCAAGGGUUCCUGUCCAACGUUAAUCGGGGCAGGGUGAGUCGACCCCUAAGGCGAGGCCGAAAGGCGUAGUCGAUGGGAAACAGGUUAAUAUUCCUGUACUUGGUGUUACUGCGAAGGGGGGACGGAGAAGGCUAUGUUGGCCGGGCGACGGUUGUCCCGGUUUAAGCGUGUAGGCUGGUUUUCCAGGCAAAUCCGGAAAAUCAAGGCUGAGGCGUGAUGACGAGGCACUACGGUGCUGAAGCAACAAAUGCCCUGCUUCCAGGAAAAGCCUCUAAGCAUCAGGUAACAUCAAAUCGUACCCCAAACCGACACAGGUGGUCAGGUAGAGAAUACCAAGGCGCUUGAGAGAACUCGGGUGAAGGAACUAGGCAAAAUGGUGCCGUAACUUCGGGAGAAGGCACGCUGAUAUGUAGGUGAAGCGACUUGCUCGUGGAGCUGAAAUCAGUCGAAGAUACCAGCUGGCUGCAACUGUUUAUUAAAAACACAGCACUGUGCAAACACGAAAGUGGACGUAUACGGUGUGACGCCUGCCCGGUGCCGGAAGGUUAAUUGAUGGGGUCAGCGCAAGCGAAGCUCUUGAUCGAAGCCCCGGUAAACGGCGGCCGUAACUAUAACGGUCCUAAGGUAGCGAAAUUCCUUGUCGGGUAAGUUCCGACCUGCACGAAUGGCGUAAUGAUGGCCAGGCUGUCUCCACCCGAGACUCAGUGAAAUUGAACUCGCUGUGAAGAUGCAGUGUACCCGCGGCAAGACGGAAAGACCCCGUGAACCUUUACUAUAGCUUGACACUGAACAUUGAGCCUUGAUGUGUAGGAUAGGUGGGAGGCUUUGAAGUGUGGACGCCAGUCUGCAUGGAGCCGGCCUUGAAAUACCACCCUUUAAUGUUUGAUGUUCUAACGUUGACCCGUGAUCCGGGUUGCGGACAGUGUCUGGUGGGUAGUUUGACUGGGGCGGUCUCCUCCUAAAGAGUAACGGAGGAGCACGAAGGUUGGCUAAUCCUGGUCGGACAUCAGGAGGUUAGUGCAAUGGCAUAAGCCAGCUUGACUGCGAGCGUGACGGCGCGAGCAGGUGCGAAAGCAGGUCAUAGUGAUCCGGUGGUUCUGAAUGGAAGGGCCAUCGCUCAACGGAUAAAAGGUACUCCGGGGAUAACAGGCUGAUACCGCCCAAGAGUUCAUAUCGACGGCGGUGUUUGGCACCUCGAUGUCGGCUCAUCACAUCCUGGGGCUGAAGUAGGUCCCAAGGGUAUGGCUGUUCGCCAUUUAAAGUGGUACGCGAGCUGGGUUUAGAACGUCGUGAGACAGUUCGGUCCCUAUCUGCCGUGGGCGCUGGAGAACUGAGGGGGGCUGCUCCUAGUACGAGAGGACCGGAGUGGACGCAUCACUGGUGUUCGGGUUGUCAUGCCAAUGGCACUGCCCGGUAGCUAAAUGCGGAAGAGAUAAGUGCUGAAAGCAUCUAAGCACGAAACUUGCCCCGAGAUGAGUUCUCCCUGACUCCUUGAGAGUCCUGAAGGAACGUUGAAGACGACGACGUUGAUAGGCCGGGUGUGUAAGCGCAGCGAUGCGUUGAGCUAACCGGUACUAAUGAACCGUGAGG